GACGAACGCUGGCGGCGUGCCUAAUACAUGCAAGUAGAACGCUGAAGGAGGAGCUUGCUCUUCUGGAUGAGUUGCGAACGGGUGAGUAACGCGUAGGUAACCUGCCUGGUAGCGGGGGAUAACUAUUGGAAACGAUAGCUAAUACCGCAUAACAGUAGAUGUUGCAUGACAUUUACUUAAAAGGUGCAAUUGCAUCACUACCAGAUGGACCUGCGUUGUAUUAGCUAGUUGGUGGGGUAACGGCUCACCAAGGCGACGAUACAUAGCCGACCUGAGAGGGUGAGCGGCCACACUGGGACUGAGACACGGCACAGACUCCUACGGGAGGCAGCAGUAGGGAAUCUUCGGCAAUGGACGGAAGUCUGACCGAGCAACGCCGCGUGAGUGAAGAAGGUUUUCGGAUCGUAAAGCUCUGUUGUAAGAGAAGAACGAGUGUGAGAGUGGAAAGUUCACACUGUGACGGUAUCUUACCAGAAAGGGACGGCUAACUACGUG
rnacentral:rRNA from 1 species